AAAGUGGAGCAAUCCAUGAGUAGAGUGGCAAACGGGUGAGUAACGCGUGGGUGACCUGCCUUCGAGCGGGGGAUAACGUUCCGAAAGGGACGCUAAUACCGCAUGACAUCCUGCCUUUGAAGAGGUGGAGAUCAAAGCUGGGGAUCGCAAGACCUAGCACUCGAUGAGGGGCCCGCGUCUGAUUAGCUAGUUGGUGGGGUAACGGCUCACCAAGGCAACGAUCAGUAUCCGGCCUGAGAGGGCGGACGGACACACUGGGACUGAGACACGGCCCAGACUCCUACGGGAGGCAGCAGUGGGGAAUUGUUCGCAAUGGGCGCAAGCCUGACGACGCAACGCCGCGUGGAGGAUGAAGAUCUUCGGGUCGUAAACUCCUUUCGAUCGAGACGAACAGCUUCCGGGUAAACAAUCCGGAGGUUUGACGGUACCGAGAGAAGAAGCCCCGGCUAACUCCGUGCCAGCAGCCGCGGUAAUACGGGGGGGGCAAGCGUUGUUCGGAAUUACUGGGCGUAAAGGGCUCGUAGGCGGCCAACUAAGUCAGACGUGAAAUCCCUCGGCUUAACCGGGGAACUGCGUCUGAUACUGGAUGGCUUGAGUUUGGGAGAGGGAUGCGGAAUUCCAGGUGUAGCGGUGAAAUGCGUAGAUAUCUGGAGGAACACCGGUGGCGAAGGCGGCAUCCUGGACCAACACUGACGCUGAGUGAGCGAAAGCCAGGGGAGCAAACGGGAUUAGAUACCCCGGUAGUCCUGGCCCUAAACGAUGAAUGCUUGGUGUGGCGGGUAUCGAU
rnacentral:rRNA from 1 species